AUUGAACGCUGGCGGCAUGCCUUACACAUGCAAGUCGAACGGUAACGCGGGGCAACCUGGCGACGAGUGGCGAACGGGUGAGUAAAGCAUCGGAACGUGCCCAGUAGUGGGGGAUAGCUCGGCGAAAGCCGGAUUAAUACCGCAUACGACCUAUGGGUGAAAGGGGGGAUCGCAAGACCUCUCGCUAUUGGAGCGGCCGAUGUCAGAUUAGGUAGUUGGUGGGGUAAAGGCCUACCAAGCCGACGAUCUGUAGCUGGUCUGAGAGGACGACCAGCCACACUGGGACUGAGACACGGCCCAGACUCCUACGGGAGGCAGCAGUGGGGAAUUUUGGACAAUGGGCGCAAGCCUGAUCCAGCCAUGCCGCGUGCGGGAAGAAGGCCUUCGGGUUGUAAACCGCUUUUGUCAGGGAAGAAAUCCUUUGGGUUAAUACCUCGGGGGGAUGACGGUACCUGAAGAAUAAGCACCGGCUAACUACGUGCCAGCCGCCGCAGUAA
rnacentral:rRNA from 1 species